AUUGAACGCUGGCGGCAGGCCUAACACAUGCAAGUCGAGCGGAUGAAGGGAGCUUGCUCCUGGAUUCAGCGGCGGACGGGUGAGUAAUGCCUAGGAAUCUGCCUGGUAGUGGGGGAUAACGUCCGGAAACGGGCGCUAAUACCGCAUACGUCCUGAGGGAGAAAGUGGGGGAUCUUCGGACCUCACGCUAUCAGAUGAGCCUAGGCCGGAUUAGCUAGUUGGUGGGGUAAAGGCCUACCAAGGCGACGAUCCGUAACUGGUCUGAGAGGAUGAUCAGUCACACUGGAACUGAGAGACGGUCCAGACUCCUACGGGAGGCAGCAGUGGGGAAUAUUGGACAAUGGGCGAAAGCCUGAUCCAGCCAUGCCGCGUGUGUGAAGAAGGUCUUCGGAUUGUAAAGCACUUUAAGUUGGGAGGAAGGGCAGUAAGUUAAUACCUUGCUGUUUUGACGUUACCAACAGAAUAAGCACCGGCUAACUUCGUG
rnacentral:rRNA from 1 species